GUCCACGCCGUAAACGAUGAUUGCUAGCCGUUGGGCAGCUUGCUGUUCAGUGGCGCAGCUAACGCAUUAAGCAAUCCGCCUGGGGAGUACGGCCGCAAGGUUGAAACUCAAAGGAAUUGACGGGGGCCCCGCACAAGCGGUGGAGCAUGUGGUUUAAUUCGACGCAACGCGCAGAACCUUACCAGGGUUUGACAUCCUACGACCGCUCCUUAAUGGGAGUUUUCCCGCAAGGGACGUAGAGACAGGUGCUGCAUGGCUGUCGU
rnacentral:rRNA from 1 species